rnacentral:rRNA from 1 species
UACGUAGGGUGCGAGCGUUGUUCGGAGUUACUGGGCGUAAAGGGCGUGUAGGCGGUUUUCUAAGUCUGGUGUGAAAUCUCCCGGCUCAACUGGGAGGGUGCGCCGAAAACUGGAAGGCUAGAGUACUGGAUGGGAGAGUGGAAUUCCUGGUGUAGCGGUGAAAUGCGUAGAUAUCAGGAGGAACACCUGUGGUGUAGACGGCUCUCUGGACAGUAACUGACGCUGAGACACGAAAGCGUGGGUAGCAAACAGG